rnacentral:rRNA from 1 species
CGCGUGGGAACCUGCCCUUUGCUACGGAACAACCACGGGAAACUGUGGCUAAUACCGUAUAAUGCACUUCGGUGCCAAAGAUUUAUCGGCGAAGGAGGGGCCCGCGUUGGAUUAGCUUGUUGGUGGGGUAACGGCCUACCAAGGCUCUGAUCCAUAGCUGGUCUGAGAGGACGAUCAGCCACACUGGGACUGAGACACGGCCCAGACUCCUACGGGAGGCAGCAGUGGGGAAUCUUGGACAAUGGGGGCAACCCUGAUCCAGCGACGCCGCGUGGGUGAAGAAGGCCUUAGGGUUGUAAA